rnacentral:rRNA from 1 species
GGCUCAGAUUGAACGCUGGCGGCAGGCCUAACACAUGCAAGUCGAGCGGUAGCACAAGAGAGCUUGCUCUCUGGGUGACGAGCGGCGGACGGGUGAGUAAUGUCUGGGAAACUGCCUGAUGGAGGGGGAUAACUACUGGAAACGGUAGCUAAUACCGCAUAACGUCUUCGGACCAAAGUGGGGGACCUUCGGGCCUCACGCCAUCAGAUGUGCCCAGAUGGGAUUAGCUAGUAGGUGGGGUAAUGGCUCACCUAGGCGACGAUCCCUAGCUGGUUUGAGAGGAUGACCAGCCACACUGGAACUGAGACACGGUCCAGACUCCUACGGGAGGCAGCAGUGGGGAAUAUUGCACAAUGGGCGCAAGCCUGAUGCAGCCAUGCCGCGUGUGUGAAGAAGGCCUUCGGGUUGUAAAGCACUUUCAGCGAGGAGGAAGGGUAGUGUGUUAAUAGCACAUUGCAUGA